AACGAACGCUGGCGGCAUGCCUAACACAUGCAAGUCGAACGAGACCUUCGGGUCUAGUGGCGCACGGGUGCGUAACGCGUGGGAACCUGCCCUUAGGUUCGGAAUAACACCCCGAAAGGGGUGCUAAUACCGGGUAAUGUCUUCGGAUCAAAGAUUUAUCGCCUUUGGGUGGGCCCGCGUUGGAUUAGCUAGUUGGUAGGGUAAAAGCCUACCAAGGCGACGAUCCAUAGCUGGUCUGAGAGGAUGAUCAGCCACACUGGGACUGAGACACGGCCCAGACUCCUACGGGAGGCAGCAGUGGGGAAUAUUGGACAAUGGGCGAAAGCCUGAUCCAGCAAUGCCGCGUGAGUGAUGAAGGCCUUAGGGUUGUAAAGCUCUUUUACCCGGGAUGAUAAUGACAGUACCGGGAGAAUAAGCUCCGGCUAACUCCGUG
rnacentral:rRNA from 1 species